AUCCAAGGAUGGGAAUCGAACCCACACUGUUCUGCUUACUGGGCAGAUGCCAUGUCCACUAGGCUACCCUGGA
rnacentral:tRNA from 1 species